UACAGAGGGGGCAAGCGUUGCUCGGAAUCACUGGGCGUAAAGCGCACGUAGGCGGAUCGUUAAGUCAGGGGUGAAAUCCUGGAGCUCAACUCCAGAACUGUCCUUGAUACUGGCGACCUUGAGUUCGGGAGAGGUGAGUGGAACUGCGAGUGUAGAGGUGAAAUUCGUAGAUAUUCGCAAGAACACCGGUGGCGAAGGCGGGUCUCUGGGCCGAUACUGACGCUGAGGAGCGAAAGCGUGGGGAGCGAACAGG
rnacentral:rRNA from 1 species